AGAUGGUGGCUGUCUGAUCCCUUCAGUGAUUGCCUCCUGACAGUUGCCAACCUCCAAACAUGGGGUCGGGGGAAAGGAGUUAUCUUUGAAGCUAUUUCUUUAGCUAUAUUUUUUAAACAAUUGGUUGUGUCUGGACCAAGGAACAGUUGCAUUUGGAAAACUUUAAAAACAUCCUUCAGGAAAAAAGGAAGAUGAGAAUCUCUUAUCUGUCACAGGAUGCAGAAAAGAGCCAAAUUCAGAGAGCCCAGGAUGCUUGAGGAAGUGUUGGCACCAAGCCACAACUGCGUUAAGUGUCGCUGUGAGACCUUGAGUUUCUUGGAAUUGGGACUACAGUGGGGACUUCUUUGGCUUGCAGAUGCCUCUCUUUGACACCUUCGUGUCUUAUGUGCCUUACACCAUCAGUUGUCCCACAGUUUACAAGCAGACAGUUGAGGCUCAGGCUAGUUAAAAGAUCUAAAAUGUUAGAGGCUACAUAUUACCCCAUGUGCUGUCCACACCACCUCAGACAGGACCAGCUGCUUUUAUUGACUUUCCUUCCCCAGCACAUCAGGUCCACCCAUCUGGCCGGGUAGUACCUUCUUCAAGAGAAAUGGAGCCCUUCUGCAAGAUCCUGACAUUGAUGCUGCCAGUGCCAUGAUGCUUUUGAAUUCUCCCCCUGAGAUACAAGCAGUUUCUCCAGGAGUGAUACAAAAUGGAGCGAGGGUUCUGAGCCGAGGGCUGUUUCCUGGUGCCCGCCCGUUGCCAAUCACUCCCAUUGGGAUGACGGCAGCCAUA
rnacentral:lncRNA from 1 species